rnacentral:rRNA from 1 species
GACGAACGCUGGCGGCGUGCUUAACACAUGCAAGUCGAGCGAUGAAGUUCCCUCGGGAAUGGAUUAGCGGCGGACGGGUGAGUAACACGUGGGUAACCUGCCUCAUAGAGGGGAAUAGCCUUUCGAAAGGAAGAUUAAUACCGCAUAAUAUUCAAGGAUCACAUGAUCUUUGAGCCAAAGGAUUUAUUCGCUGUAAGAUGGACCCGCGGCGCAUUAGCUUGUUGGUGAGGUAACGGCUCACCAAGGCUUCGAUGCGUAGCCGACCUGAGAGGGUGAUCGGCCACAUUGGAACUGAGACACGGUCCAGACUCUUACGGGAGGCAGCAGUGGGGAAUAUUGCACAAUGGAGGAAACUCUGAUGCAGCAACGCCGCGUGAGUGAUGAAGGUCUUCGGAUCGUAAAACUCUGUCUUAUGGGACGAUAAUGACGGUACCAUAGGAGGAAGCCACGGCUAACUACGUGCCAGCAGCCGCGGUAAUACGUAGGUGGCAAGCGUUGUCCGGAUUUACUGGGCGUAAAGGAUGUGUAGGCGGAUAUUUAAGUGAGAUGUGAAAUCCCCGGGCUUAACUUGGGGGCUGCAUUUCAAACUGGAUGUCUAGAGUGCAGGAGAGGAAAGCAGAAUUCCUAGUGUAGCGGUGAAAUGCGUAGAGAUUAGGAAGAAUACCGGUGGCGA